rnacentral:misc_RNA from 1 species
CAUUUUGAUGUGUAAAACAACUUAAUUACUUAUAUAAACUCAUCUUAAAAUCAAUUAAUAUGUAAUUUGACCGGUAAACUCACUAAAUUGAAGAGUAAUUGAUUUGAUCAAUAUCAAAAUAUCUUCCAUUUUGACAUGAUCUAAAUUUGAUUUCAUAUUUGUAUACAUUUGCAUGAUACCAAACUUCUGCGCUACCAGUCCAUGAUAUGUUAUAGCUCGGCAAGAAUAUUAAGCUUUACCUGGGGUAAACUACACCAAAAGUGUAAAUAUUCAAUGCAAAGGUUGUAAUUUUACUAAAUUUUUAAAGGGAAAAGCAUGAUCAUCAGAAAUGGUCUGCACAAAAUAUUCUGGAAGUAAAGAAGGGUAUACAUUAAUAAUAACUAAGCUUAAUCCCAAAUUAAUUGAGGUCGGCUAUAUAAUUCGUAAUGAGUCAAUAAAUAACACAACAUUGCAAGUUUUACUUGAAUGUGACAAACUCUGUAGGAGAAUUUGCCCCAAAAUGCUAGCCAAAACCCUAUUGGACUGGAGUAGCACUAUUGGUACAAACUAGCCCACAUAUAUAUGGUCCUCCUAUCAGUCUACCAGACAAAAACCAAUUAGAGUAAGUACCCACAAGUUUCUACAAGGCUUUGAUAUCAAGUCAUAAAUGACUUGAUAAAAAUACCCCUAAAAGCAAGGCUCUAGGAGAAGAAAGCCCAAUACCUUUUUUAAUUGCAUCAAUCUCUCCAUUUAAGCCAUGUGGAACCAUAGGAUACUUAGAAAUCAUCUAGGGCAUUUCAUAUAGAAAUAGAACAUAGUCCUUCGAGAACAUUCUGAGAAAGAGAACAAGACAAUUUGCAUGAAAAAAACUACCUCCAGUAAUUUUGUUUUUGUUGUCUUGCAAGGAUAAACUUCUGCUCUGGCUUCCUCCUGAACUAAGCACCAAUCAACCUUGCGCAGGUAGGAAGUUAAUGAAUCGCGCCAAAACCACCACUCCAUGGACAACUCAGAGUAGUAAGCUGCAGUUUCUGCCAGCAUUAUCUGCUCAAAUUUUUCAUAAUAAUUUGUGGUUCCUUUGCCUCCUAAUCCUAUAAAUAAACAAAGCACAGCUUUGAGCAGAUUUCGAUCAAUAUCCUUCCCCUCACGAUCUUCAAUAAUCAAGCUUAUCGCAGCUUCCUGAAUUUUUCCAUAUAGCCUCUCGCAAACCUGAUUGCCAUAGUAAUGUUUUGGGGCAUCAGCAAGUAAUAGAAGUCCUUUCCUUGGAGCAUAGAAACGAUCCAAGAAUUCAAAGAACUUAUAUAUAGAGUCUGCAAAGGCCUUAAACUCUGACCAAGAUUGUGUUACUUCUUUCAACAGCGCUACCCCAUGUUUGCCCAACAAUCUUGGAAUUACCUUUUCCAUAAUUCUCUCUUCUAAACAGCUCACAUAUUUCUCAUAAAUAUGCUCUGCGUAGUUACGCUUCUGGGUGCACAGCUUGUAAACACAACUACCACAAACGUUAAGGAUACUCGAUUACCCACUAAUACCCACAUCACUACCAUCUCCCACUCUACUUUAAAACUGAAAAAGCACAGAAAUUAUGGAAUUUUAGCCCAAAAAAUAAAAUGCAUUUCAUAUUCAGGAUACUCGUAUAUCAGCAUAUUUUCUGCGGUAGUAAAUGGAGUGACACACUGGGCAUCAGAGAUCAACCUCUUCCUUGCAAUGGCAUCUUCUAUUUUCUUCAACCCUUCUUCCAACGUCAAGGGAGUAUUCAUCUCGCUUUUCAUCUGAACCCAAAAGAGGAUUACCCUGAACAAUCAAGUUAAACUCUUCAAAUUAAAGAAAAGAAUUGGGAAAGAUACAACCAGAUAGUACCUGAUAAGCAGGGCAGAGAUAAUUACAACUUGGGAAGAGGGAAAGCAAACGAAAGGGGGAUAAAGAGGAGGAAAUGAAGAGAAAUGAGGAGUUUCACACUUAUAUAAAGGCGAAACAAACUUGCAGAAGAAGGGGAAGAGCUUGUUUGCCAAGUUUAGUGACGCUUUGCUGUGUCAUGCGGACAGUACGG